rnacentral:lncRNA from 1 species
UGGACUUUGAAGUAGAAGCCAUCUACGUCAUGUCGAGUCCGGAAGUCUUCAAAGUCUUAUUCAGUUUCUUCAUAUAUGAUUUCAUAGCAUUGAACUUCUUCUUAUAUUUGGAGACGUCUUUCUGACUCUCGUUACACUUAUUCUGAAAAUGAAAACAAAAAUGAGUUCGAUAAUCAACAAAAUUAUUGAAAUAUAUUGUAAAUACCUCCAAUUCUUUGAAUUUUUCCGUCCAAACUGCAUCUGUUGUUGCAUCAGUAGAAUCAAACUGC